rnacentral:rRNA from 1 species
UACGUAGGGGGCGAGCGUUGUCCGGAUUUAUUGGGCGUAAAGAGCUCGUAGGCGGCUCGGUAAGUCGGAUGUGAAACCUCCAGGCUCAACCUGGAGACGCCAUCUGAUACUGCCGUGGCUUGAGUCCGGUAGAGGAGCAGGGAAUUCCUGGUGUAGCGGUGAAAUGCGCAGAUAUCAGGAGGAACACCAGCGGCGAAGGCGCUGCUCUGGGCCGGUACUGACGCUGAGGAGCGAAAGCAUGGGGAGCGAACAGG